GUAGGUGGCAAGCGUUGUCCGGAAUUAUUGGGCGUAAAGCGCGCGCAGGCGGCCUUUAAGUCUGAUGUGAAAGCCCACGGGCUCAACCGUGAGGGUCAUUGGAAACUGGGGGACUUGAGUACAGAAGAGGAAAGCGGAAUUCCAAGUGUAGCGGUGAAAUGCGUAGAGAUUUGGAGGAACACCAGUGGCGAAGGCGGCUUUCUGGUCUGUAACUGACGCUGAGGCGCGAAAGCGUGGGGAGCAAACAGGAUUAGAUACCCUGGUAGUCCACGCCGUAAACGAUGAGUGCUAAGUGUUAGGGGGUUUCCGCCCCUUAGUGCUGCAGCUAACGCAUUAAGCACUCCGCCUGGGGAGUACGGCCGCAAAGGCUGA
rnacentral:rRNA from 1 species